GUCACUGAUAUUUACACCACGGUUAUAAAACAGGAUAUGAUUAGUAUUUGGAGAAAAGAGAUCUGUGAAUCAGACAAAAUUCAACUCUGCUUUAAUGGUCGUGGAGGGUCUGUAUCCUCUCUCAGAAGCUACAGGCGCGAGGCAGGGCGCAACCCAGGCAGGAUGGGGCGCCGAUCCAUCUCAGGGCUCAAACUCACACACUCUGUGGGUUUCAGCUGCGGGGGAAAACCAGAGUACCCAGAGAAAACCCCACAACGACACGGGAGAAUAUGCAAACUCCACACACAGCCAUAACAGAGACUUACACCAUGGAUCCAGAGGUGAGGCGACAGGAUCCAGAGGUGAGGCGAUAGGAUCCAGAGGUGAGGCGACAGGAUCCAGAGGGUCAUGGAGGGUCCAGAACCUAUCCUGGAAACUAUGGGUGCAAGGCUGGGAGCAACCCAUGAUGGGGCGCCAACCCAUCACAGGCCAUUCUCACACAACAUUCACUUACACACGCACACCAAUGGACAAUUUAACAUGUUUUUGGACUGAGGGGGACACUGGAAUACCCAGAGGAAACCCCACGACACAGGGAGAACAUGCAAACUCCACACACAUGGAACCAAGGUGGAGACUCGAACCCUGGUCCCACUGCCAGCAAGCUGCCCUUUCCCAAACAUUAUUAGUAUAUUACUAGUGUGAUGGAUAGAUAAAUACGGGCCGUUUUAUGUAUAUACGUUAUACAGAUGUACAUAUACAUAUAUGUAACCGGGUGGAAAUACAGGGAGGAACGUAGUCCCUUUAAGGGAGUGACGCUGCGGAGUGAGGUCAUCACUCUGCGUAAAGGGAAAGGGAAGCGUGUUUGGGUUUGGUGGACAUGCGGUUACUGAAGAAGAGGGAUCCUCAUUUGGUCUGAAUUAUUAGUGAGAUAUUUGGGGAAAUCCCUGGGGUUUAUUGUAACCAAGGAGAAAUUGGAAGCGUCAGAUUUAGGAGGACGUCAGAUGAGGGAGGAUUGAGCGUGGACGCGGUGGUGGUCUGGCCUGGUGAGCUCAGCAGGUGGUAGUUGCUGGGUGAAGAGAGGUGUUGAGGAAGCCACGUGUGGAGAAACGGCUGAUAAAAGGGGACUGUCACUACUGUAAUUGUACUGGGGAUCUUUUUCAUGUUUUCUUUUUUUUAUUAUUUUCUACUUUCGAACGAGAAUAAGGGGUUUAUAAAACUUCUGGCUUGCCUGAUUUAAGGGUUUUCUUAAAUUUGGAUUUUUUUACGGAGGGCAAAUUGUAAUUUUCUUUUCUUUAUUUAAUAAAUGGGAUGGUUAAAUUGUCCCGGUUCGGUGUCCCUGCAUUGAAUAAAAGAUCCCACAUAAAAAGUUGCUUGUUGUUUCGUGGAUACUUUACCCGGCAACACACACACACACACAUAUGUAUCUCAAGGCUAAACAACCCUGUGUUGGAUAAUCAUUAGGGAAGAUGAAUAGUUGUAUUUGCAAUAUGAUAUAUUAACAAUUUCGUUUUAAAAGCUCUAAAAUUAUAUAACUGUGAUGAAGUAUUGGGCAGAUAUUUUUGUUUUCAAAUUGCAAUAUAUUUAACAGUAUGUGUGCUUGAAAUUAUGCCAUUGA